CGCCUGAGAGGGACGCUGUUCCGCCGCGUGCAAGCUUCGAGUCUCGACUCCACUGUUGACCCCUAGACGAGAGUAGUGCAGCGACGGGGCCGUGAUGUGCGUCCUGGCUUUCUUAACGACACCUCUUCUCUGUAUUUCCUUUUUCCAUUUGUACUUGCGUUCAGUGGUUCCUGAACUCUUGUCCCACAUCCAAGAAGAAUGAGGAUAUGCUGACAAUUUGAAGGAUGAGAAGGAUGGAGAAGAAUUUUAUUGAGCGAUGGAACAGCUCUCAGCGGAGAGGGGAUGCGGACAAGAACUCGGGACCUGCAGAACAGCGGGUGCAAAAGAACAGCGGGUGCAAGGCUGUAGCCCUCCUGCCCUCUCCUGGCACCAGGCGGCCACCCCACGUUAUGGGAAGUGGUGGUGGGGCCAGGCCAGCCCAGGAGCCGUGGGCUGGUGGGACUGAACAAGCUGGGACAUGCCCCCGUUCGGCAAAGCUUGUGGACGGCAGGAAUGAAUGAACUGUAACACAAACGAGCUGAGACUCUUGGGGGUGCAGACCUCGGGAUUCCCCAAGCCAGAGCUGUAACAUGCUGUAACACCCCCCGCCGCAUUUCUUUUUCUUUUUCUUUUGAGACGGAGUCUCACUCUAUCACCCAGACUGGAGUGCAGUGGUGUGAUCUUGGCUCACUGCAACCUCUGCCUCCCAGGUUCAAGUGAUUCUCCUGCCUCAGCCUCCUGAGUAACUGAGAUUACAGGCACCUGCCACCACUUCCGGCUAAUUUUUUGUAUUUUUAGUAGAGACAGGGUUUUGCCAUGUUGGCCCGGCUGGUCUCGAACUCCUGACCUCAAGUGAUUCUCCUACCUCAGGCUCCCAAAGUGUGGGGAUUACAGGCAUGAGCCACUGCACCUGGCCUUUGAGGUUCCGCAGUUGCUGGUGUCUUUGAGUUUUUUGGGCGCCACUGCGUUCCCUUUGUUCAUACGCCAGUGCCCAAGGCAGAAGCUGCUUGCAGUAUACCUACCUGAUCCAGCCACAGCUUCACAUGAAGCUGGUGCCUAGAGGUGAUGCCCUGCUGUAGCAGCUAGCAUACCUGGCUUGCCUUUGGUGGGUGUGAGAUCUGGGCCAGUACCGCUAGCCAAGAGCCAAGCACAGCCUGCCAAGCCCAGUGGGUGGAGCCAGCCCAGUGGUCAGGAGUGAAUCUUGAUCUUGAGCAAGGCCUCCCCGGCCGUGGAGGUCUCUGGCUGUGGAACAACACCAAAAAAUCCUUUGUCAAUAUUGUCAAUAGCAUGUUCCUUUUGCAUUUGCUUGAUUUCUUUCACUGUAAUAUCUGUGAAAUUGUGUGUAUCAGUAGUAGGUUUUGUUUUGUGUUUUGGUGGGGUGGUAUUACAUUUUAUGAAUACAGUAACCCUCCCUUCUCCUCAGGGGACAUGUUCCAGGGCCCCUGCUGUGGACAGCAUCUAACCCAGUUGCCUUCAAUGAGAAUAUAUUUCUGUUCAUAUCUUCCACCCACAAAUUUAAUGCCUUUUCCGUCUUAACGAAGCAGUUACCGUGCAUGACCCAUGGCAGUAACUUCUGCAGUUUGAGUUGCAACAGCAAAACUAGCACACAUUCUUUUCCCUUCUUCACAAUUUAACAGAUGGAGGAUUUAUUCUUACCAUAGAUGUUAGCAACCUCGGAAUACAUGCUUUUGUUUUGUUUUGUUUUGUUUUGUUUUAGUAACUCAAGAACCUUCACCUUUUUAUUUAAAGGAAGCACUUUACACUUCUCUUUGGCAUGUCUGCAUAGCCAGCAUUACUACUCUUGCGCUUUGUGGCCAUUAUUAAGUAAAAUAAGAGUUACUUGCACUGCGAUACUGUGGCAGUCAAUCUGAUAACUGAGAGGGACGCUAACGGGCAGGGAGUGUCCACAGCGUGUUUCCACUGGACGAAGGGGUGAUUCAUGUCCCAGGUGGGAUGGAGCAGGACAGUGCAAGAUUUUAUCACAGUACUCAGAACAGCAUGCAAUUUAAAACUUAUGAGUAGUUUAUUUCUGGAAUUUUUCAUCUGAUAUUUUCAGACCUUGGUUGACCACUGGUAACUGAAGUUGUAGAAAGCACAACUGCAGAUAAGGGUGGGGAACUAUCGUAUUUCUCAUCUUAUUCAUUCCUCUUUUGAUGGGCAGUUGGGUUCUAUCUGUAUUUUCUUCUAAGAAGCCUUAUAGUUUUAUGUUUAUGUCUGUAAUUUAUUUUUAAAAUUUUUUAGAGAUAGGCUCUUGCUAUAGUGCCCAGGCUGGUCUCAAACUCCUGGCCUCAAGCGAUUCUCCCAGCAUGGCCUCCCAAAGUGUUGGGAUUACAAGCAUGAACCAGUGUGCCCGGCCGGUGAUCUAUUUUGAGUUAAUUUUUGUGUAUGGUUGAGGUAGGACUGAGGUUCCUUUUUUUCCCCCAUAUGGAUAUAUAAUGACUUCCUAUAACAUUAUUUGACUAUUUUUUCCUCUCUUAAUUGCUUCAGAGCUUUGUUGAGAAUCAGUUGAUUGUAUAAAUGUAGUUCUGUUUCCGGAGUUAAUUCUGUUUAAUUGGUAUCUUUAUUAUUAUGCUAAUAACACACUCCUCAUUCUUCUAGUUUUAUAUUAAGUCUUGAAGAAAGGUAUUAUAAGUCUCCCUUGUCUUUUCAAGAUUGUUUUGGCUAUUCUAGGUCCUUUGCAUUUCCAUAUACACUUUAAAAGCAACCUGUUAAUUUCUGUUAAAAAAAUCCUGCUGGGGCAAGGCAUAGUGGCUCACAUGUGUAAUCUCAGCACUUUGGGAGGCUGAGAUGGGAGGAUCACCUGGGCUCAGAAGUUCAAACCAGCUUGGGCAACAUGGUGAGACUCUGUCUCUACAAAAAAACCUAAAAAUUAGCUGAGCAUGGUGGCGUGUGCCUAUGGUCCCAGCUACUUGGGAGGCUAAAGUGGGAGGAUCGCUUGAGCCCAGGAGGUCAAGGCUUCAGAGAGCCAUGGUUGCACCACUGCACUCCAGCCUGGGCAACAGAGUGAUACCCUGUAUCAAAAAAAAAAAAAAAAAAAAUCCUGCUGGGGUUGAUAUGAAUCUGUAGAUAAAUUUGGGGAAAAUUGACAUCUUAAUGUUGAAUCUUAUAAUUCAUGAAUAUGAAACCACCUUUGCAGAACUAUAAGUAAUGAGAGAAGUCUAAUAUGGUUGACUCCAUCUUGCUUCCAACCUCUCAGGUUAAAUUGUUUUUUUGUUCAUUCUAAUAUGGGGGCCAAGAUAACCAUAACAGGAAUUUAGUUUACAGUUAAAACCACAUUCAUAAGACAAAGUUAAAAUUAUGGUAGGGGCUUGAACUUUGCUGGAGAAUAGGCAUAGUUGAACAAUGACCCGCCAUUGCUUAGCUUGUUUUUGUUAUAUAAGUUGCUUACUGCCCCAGAGUCUUGUAUCUGGGGUCACAAGAUUUAGAGCUUCUCCAACUUUUCCUGUAGGUAAUAUUACUAUUGUAAAACCUAAAGAACUGGUCUUUGAGACAUUUUUCAGAUUUAGCAUUUCAGGAGACCAAGAGAUGCCACUUGGUCCUGAGACCCCUUCCCAGGAAAUGACUUGGCUGUGUGAAUACAGUUUUAGACACUCCUGCAAUUUCAUCCCCAGCCAAUCCGUUGUUUCAGUUCUCCAGCCCCCUGCCUGCCAAAGUAGUAGUUAAAAAACCCUAGCCUCUGAACUCUUGGGGGGAUGAGUUUGAAAAGUGUCUGUCGUUCUCCUCACUUGGCUGGCCCUGCAAUUAUUAAACUCUUUGCUGCAACACCUGCUGUUCUCAUUGUUUUUUUCAGGGCAGCAGGCAAGAAGAACCCCUCGGGCUAUGACAAAUAGGGUACAACUCUAUGUAGGCCUUAAUUUUUUUCAGCAAUGUUUUACAGUUUUCAGUGUAGAGGACUUACAUGUCUUUUGUUACAUUUGCCCUGAAAUGCUUUAUUUUUUGAUGCUUUUAUAACUGAAGUUAUUGUGAAAAAUUUACUUCAUGAAUAUUUACUGGUGGUGUGUAGAAACACAAUUGGUUUUUGUAUUUGUAACUGUAUUCUGUUAGCUUGCCACUUAUUUUGGCAGUUGCUUUUUAGAUUUGUUAGGAUUUUAUAUUUAGACAAU